rnacentral:rRNA from 1 species
AUUGAACGCUGGCGGCAGGCCUAACACAUGAAAAUCGAACGAGUGGCGGACGGGUGAGGAAUGUCUGGGAAACUGCCUGAUGGAGGGGGAUGACUACUGGAAACGGUAGCUAAUACCUCGUACCAUCGGAUGUGCCCAGAUGGGAUUAGCUAGUAGGUGGGGUAAAGGCUCACCUAGGCGACGAUCACUAGCUGGUCUGAGAGGAUGACCAGCCAAACUGGAACUGAGACACGGUCCAGACUCCUACGGGAGGCAGCAGUGGGGAAUAUUGCACAAUGGGCGCAAGUCUGAUGCAGCCAUGCCGCGUGUAUGAAGAAGGCCUUCGGGUUGUAAAGUACUUUCAGCGGGGAGGCGUUACCCGCAGAAGAAGCACCGGCUAACUCCGUGCCAGCAGCCGCGGUAAUAC